rnacentral:rRNA from 1 species
AGCGGGGGAAGGCUAGCUCUGCUACCGGACCUAGCGGCGGACGGGUGAGUAAUGCUUAGGAAUCUGCCUAUUAGUGGGGGACAACAUCUCGAAAGGGAUGCUAAUACCGCAUACGUCCUACGGGAGAAAGCAGGGGAUCUUCGGACCUUGCGCUAAUAGAUGAGCCUAAGUCGGAUUAGCUAGUUGGUGGGGUAAAGGCCUACCAAGGCGACGAUCUGUAGCGGGUCUGAGAGGAUGAUCCGCCACACUGGGACUGAGACACGGCCCAGACUCCUACGGGAGGCAGCAGUGGGGAAUAUUGGACAAUGGGGGGAACCCUGAUCCAGCCAUGCCGCGUGUGUGAAGAAGGCCUUAUGGUUGUAAAGCACUUUAAGCGAGGAGGAGGCUACUCUAGUUAAUACCUAGGGAUAGUGGACGUUACUCGCAGAAUAAGCACCGGCUAACUCUGUGCCAGCAGCCGCGGUAAUACAGAGGGUGCGAGCGUUAAUCGGAUUUACUGGGCGUAAAGCGUGCGUAGGCGGCUUAUUAAGUCGGAUGUGAAAUCCCCGAGCUUAACUUGGGAAUUGCAUUCGAUACUGGUGAGCUAGAGUAUGGGAGAGGAUGGUAGAAUUCCAGGUGUAGCGGUGAAAUGCGUAGAGAUCUGGAGGAAUACCGAUGGCGAAGGCAGCCAUCUGGCCUAAUACUGACGCUGAGGUACGAAAGCAUGGGGAGCAAACAGGAUUAGAUACCCUGGUAGUCCAUGCCGUAAACGAUGUCUACUAGCCGUUGGGGCCUUUGAGGCUUUAGUGGCGCAGCUAACGCGAUAAGUAGACCGCCUGGGGAGUACGGUCGCAAGACUAAAACUCAAAUGAAUUGACGGGGGCCCGCACAAGCGGUGGAGCAUGUGGUUUAAUUCGAUGCAACGCGAAGAACCUUACCUGGCCUUGACAUACUAGAAACUUUCCAGAGAUGGAUUGGUGCCUUCGGGAAUCUAGAUACAGGUGCUGCAUGGCUGUCGUCAGCUCGUGUCGUGANAUGUUGGGUUAAGUCCCGCAACGAGCGCAACCCUUUUCCUUACUUGCCAGCAUUUCGGAUGGGAACUUUAAGGAUACUGCCAGUGACAAACUGGAGGAAAGCGGGGACNACUUCAAGUCAUCUUGGCCCUUACGGCCAGGGCUACCCCCGUGCUACAAUGGUCGGUACAAAGGUUGCUUCCCACCCAUUUGNUCC